GAUGAACGCUGGCGGCGUGCCUAAUACAUGCAAGUCGAGCGAAUGGAUUAAGAGCUUGCUCUUAUGAAGUUAGCGGCGGACGGGUGAGUAACACGGGAGUAACCUGCCCAUAAGACUGGGAUAACUCCGGGAAACCGGGGCUAAUACCGGAAAACAUUUUGAAACGCAUGGUUCGAAAUUGAAAGGCGGCUUCGGCUGUUACUUAUGGAUGGACCCGGGUCGCAUUAGCUAGUUGGUGAGGUAAGGGCUCACCAAGGCAACGAUGCGUAGCCGACCUGAGAGGGUGAUCGGCCACACUGGGACUGAGACACGGCCCAGACUCCUACGGGAGGCAGCAGUAGGGAAUCUUCCGCAAUGGACGAAAGUCUGACGGAGCAACGCCGCGUGAGUGAUGAAGGCUUUCGGGUCGUAAAACUCUGUUGUUAGGGAAGAACAAGUGCUAGUUGAAUAAGCUGACACCUUGACGGUACCUAACCAGAAAGCCACGGCUAACUACGUGCCAGCAGCCGCCGUAA
rnacentral:rRNA from 1 species